rnacentral:rRNA from 1 species
UACGGAGGGUGCGAGCGUUGUCCGGAAUCACUGGGCGUAAAGGGCGCGUAGGCGGCGCGGAUAGUCGGCGGUGAAAGCCCGGAGCUCAACUCCGGGUCGGCCGUCGAUACUUCCGGGCUUGAGCACUGUAGAGGCAGAUGGAAUUCCGGGUGUAGCGGUGGAAUGCGUAGAGAUCCGGAAGAACACCGGUGGCGAAGGCGGUCUGCUGGGCAGUUGCUGACGCUGAUGCGCGACAGCGUGGGGAGCAAACGAGGAUUAGAAACCCCAGUAGACCCAGUCAAGUCC